CUUUCAUAAUUUCAUAGGGUUUUGUUGUUAUUUUUAGUUCGAUCUACCCAGUCUAUCACUGGUAAGUUUGUGUAGGAUAACUUGAAUAUUAAAUAUAAGCAUGUAUAUCUUGGGUUACCUUAAAUUAUUUUUGAUCUUCGCUCCUUUUAUCAGUUGCUAUGCAACAUCUUCAUCUACAAUGAAUGCUCUAGUUCCAUCCUCAACUGCAUUGGUUG